GGCGGAGUUUGGCUCCGCCCGACGAACGUGCAGGUGGUAUGAGGGUGUGCAUUCGUCUUGAAAACCGCUACCGAGGGACCCCUCUCGGUCAUGGGUUCGAAUCCCAUGCCCUCCGCCACCA
rnacentral:tRNA from 1 species